rnacentral:rRNA from 1 species
CUACGGGAUGCUGCAGUGGGGAAUAUUGCACAAUGGGCGAAAGCCUGAUGCAGCAACGCCGCGUGAGGGACGACGGCCUUCGGGUUGUAAACCUCUUUUAGCAGGGAAGAAGCGAAAGUGACGGUACCUGCAGAAAAAGCACCGGCUAACUACGUGCCAGCAGCCGCGGUAAUACGUAGGGUGCAAGCGUUGUCCGGAAUUAUUGGGCGUAAAGAGCUCGUAGGCGGUUUGUCGCGUCUGCUGUGAAAAUCCGAGGCUCAACCUCGGACCUGCAGUGGGUACGGGCAAACUAGAGUGCGGUAGGGGAGAUUGGAAUUCCUGGUGUAGCGGUGGAAUGCGCAGAUAUCAGGAGGAACACCAAUGGCGAAGGCAGAUCUCUGGGCCGUAACUGACGCUGAGGAGCGAAAGCGUGGGGAGCGAACAGGAUUAGAUACCCCAGUAGUC